GCGGGGAUCAUGUUGUCGUUCUAUUUAUCUGUCUGUUUAGUUUGUUUGCUGGUUCUUCAUGCUAGUUGUCUGCAUAAUAUUUUUCUCGAACAAUUUGUUGGUUUAUCGGAUUUUUUGUUGGGUUUAGUGAUGACGAAGUUUCUUUACAGUGGUUUCUUGUUUAUCAUGCAAGCUAUUCCUCAUGUGCGGUAUGCUCCCAAAAUUGGUGUUAUAGAGUAAGU
rnacentral:lncRNA from 1 species